GGAAUAUUCGUCAAUGGGGGAAACCCUGCACGAGCAAUGCCGCGUGAAGGAUGACGGUCCUAUGGAUUGUAAACUUCUGUUGUUAGGGAAGAACGACCUAAGUAGGAAAUGACUUAGGAGUGACGGUACCUUUCAAGAAAGCCCCGGCUAACUACGUGCCAGCAGCCGCGGUAAUACGUAGGGAGCGAGCGUUAUCCGGAUUUAUUGGGUGUAAAGGGUGCGUAGGCGGCUUCUUAAGUCUGUAGUAAAAGCCCGGAGCUUAACUCCGGUUCGCUACAGAAACUGAUUAGCUUGAGUAUGGGAGAGGCAAGUGGAAUUUCUAGUGUAGCGGUUAAAUGCGUAGAUAUUAGAAGGAACACCAGUGGCGAAGGCGACUUGCUGGGCCAUUACUGACGCUGAGGCACGAAAGCGUGGGGAGCAAAU
rnacentral:rRNA from 1 species